UACGAGGGGGGCGAGCGUUGUUCGGAAUUAUUGGGCGUAAAGGGUGCGUAGGCGGUUCGGUAAGUUUCGUGUGAAAUCUUCGGGCUCAACUCGAAGUCUGCACGAGAUACUGCCGGGCUUGAGUGUGGGAGAGGUGAGUGGAACUGCGAGUGUAGAGGUGAAAUUCGUAGAUAUUCGCAAGAACACCAGUGGCGAAGGCGGCUCACUGGCCCGGUACUGACGCUGAGGUGCGAAAGCGUGGGGAGCAAACAGG
rnacentral:rRNA from 1 species